AAACUGUUGUGGUUGUCAACUGGAUUGUCUUCCUAAAGUAUGAAUCUGGUAUAUGUUGAUUGAAGUUGUUAAUGGCUACUUCUUUACGGAUUCAUAUGGGGGAACGAAUGAAGCACACAGGCCUACAACAAAAAACAAAACACGAAACAAACAGGAAGCUGAAAGAGUAUCAGCAGAGGAACAGCCCUGGUGUUCCGGCAGGAGCGAAGACAAAGAAGAAAAAAACUGGAAGUAGCCCUGAGACAGCCACUUCUGGUGGUUGCCACUCACCUGAGGAUUCCUCCUCCAACUCAUCCUCUCUAUAUGCGCCUCAGAGCCGGUACCAAGAACUAGCGGUAGCCCUGGACUCAAACUCUACGACAAUCAGUCACCUUAAUGAAAACAUAGAAUCAUUGAAACAACAGAAGAAACAAGUGGAACAUCAGCUGGAAGAAGAGAAGAAAGCAAACAAUGAAAUACACAAAGCGCAAAUGGAGCAGUUAGAGACAAUCAACAUCCUCAUGUUGGAAAAGGCAGACUUGAAGACCACCCUUUACCAUACUAAACGUGCCACCAGACACUUUGAAGAAGAGUCCAAGGAUCUGGCCAGCCGCCCGCAAUACUCCUUGCAGCGUACUCAAGAAUUGGAGUGGGCUCUCUCUGCUGUGCCUACACAGCAGCAGGAAGAGGACAGGGUGAGUCCAACCAGCUGUCCCGUCCCCUGGCAGCCUGGCUUGCCAGAUGGAGGAGUGAGCCUAAAGCUCCCUUCUGCAGGAUGCAGUGUCCUGCCCAGAAGGCAGCAGGAUCAUUUCAAGCUGCUUUUGUGUUUGGUUGUUAGAGGCAGCCUGGGGCUGAGUCAGCUGCUGUGGGUGUGUUGGGGGCACUGUGGGCAGUGA
rnacentral:lncRNA from 10 species